GCGCUUUUAAUUCAAAAUGGCGACUUAGCGGGCGAGAGUUUGUUUACGAUGGACCUGAAAUGUUUGCGGCCGUUUUGCGAAAAUGUUUGGACACAUAAGGGGAUUUCUGACGUCUAAAGAAUCUUUGUUUUUAGUUUCGUAGGAGUUUUACCAUUAUUUGUGCAUAGAAAGAUGAGAAACGUCUGUUUGCUUACUAUAAAGAAAAGUGUCAUUCCAGUUUGGAGUUUGGGUUCUACAUAAGUUGCAUAGAAGUUGUCAUGGAAAUCGUCUCGGAAGGAAGUUUGGAGUCUAUCAGUAGACCUGCAAGUUCCGAUGCCUCAAGAUCUAGAGAUCAAAACUUACCUCAAAAACAUGGUCAAAUAAAAGGUUUUUUAGAGGAGCUCCCUCCAGAAGCUGUCACAAACACCCUAAAUGAAGAUGUUGAUCAUCUUGACUCUGAAGAAGACUCA